AUUGAACGCUGGCGACAUGCCUUACACAUGCAAGUCGAACGGCAGCACGGGUGCUUGCACCUGGUGGCGAGUGGCGAACGGGUGAGUAAUACAUCGGAACAUGUCCUGUAGUGGGGGAUAGCCCGGCGAAAGCCGGAUUAAUACCGCAUACGAUCUACGGAUGAAAGCGGGGGACCUUCGGGCCUCGCGCUAUCGGGUUGGCCGAUGGCUGAUUAGCUAGUUGGUGGGGUAAAGGCCUACCAAGGCGACGAUCAGUAGCUGGUCUGAGAGGACGACCAGUCACACUGGGACUGAGACACGGCCCAGACUCCUACGGGAGGCAGCAGUGGGGAAUUUUGGACAAUGGGCGAAAGCCUGAUCCAGCAAUGCCGCGUGUGUGAAGAAGGCCUUCGGGUUGUAAAGCACUUUUGUCUGGAAAGAAAUCCUUGGCCCUAAUACGGUCGGGGGAUGACGGUACCGGAAGAAUAAGCACCGGCUAACUACGUG
rnacentral:rRNA from 1 species